rnacentral:rRNA from 1 species
UCCGUAGGCGGGCAAUUAAGUCAGAGGUGAAAUCCCACAGCUCAACUGUGGAACUGCCUUUGAUACUGGUUGUCUUGAGUUACAGUGAGGUAGAUAGAAUAUGUAGUGUAGCGGUGAAAUGCAUAGAUAUUACAUAGAAUACCGAUUGCGAAGGCAGUCUACUAACUGUAUACUGACGCUAAUGGACGAAAGCGUGGGGAGCGAACAGGAUUAGAUACCCUGGUAGUCC